AUUCUAAAUUAUUUAGUUAAAAAAAGUGAAGAUCAAUCAACUGCAUAAUAUUGCCGUUUUAAUUUUACGGACACCUUUAAUCAUUCCAAGCGAGAAUGUAUCAUUAAUACGAGUGCCCCCAGCAAAUUGGGGACAAACAGCAUUACCAAAUCCUUCUGUGGCCAUUUUAACCGGAUGGGGUGCCACUAAUGCUACUUCACCUGGAUUAUCCGAAAGAUUACAAGCGGCUAAUAUAACUUUCACUAAUACUUGCACUGAUUUCGCACCGGCUCAAAGUAAUUAUAUAAUUUGUUCUGCGGCACCGGCUCCAGGAACUAAUGUACCAACUGGAUGUAUGGGUGAUAUGGGAAGUCCGCUAGUACUAGGAGAUCAAGUAAUUGGUAUUUUAGCAAGAUACAUAAGACCUUGUAAUUCUCGUACAGAUAUGUAUGCACGAGUGAACACUUUUCGAGUUUUUAUUGAAACUACUUUACGGGACUUUAACAUGAACUUAAAUUAACUUGUAAUUCAUUUUAUGCUUUAUAUUUUAAUUUAGUGUUUCCUAAAUUAACAUAAAUAACAAAAUUAAUAAAAUUCUUAACCUACAAA
rnacentral:misc_RNA from 1 species